GCCACUUUGGCUCACUGGAUAGAGCGUCAGCCUGCAGACUGAAGGGUCCCGGGUUCGAUUCCGGUCAGGGGCA
rnacentral:tRNA from 1 species